AGUUCGGUGAUUCAUCUCGGGAUUGUGAUUUUGAAGUUCGAUUUUGAGCAUAGAUCGGUGAUUCAUCUCCGUGGAUUUGGAGCUCUUAGUCUUCUUCGAUCAGAGAUUUGGGCACAAUGAGAUGGAUGAGCCGUCUUUCACACAGCCACAUAUGUACAAGAUCAGAUUCAUUCGAGUUGAGAGUGAUUAGGAAAAUGAUGCUCUGCUCCUUAUUCACUUCUUGUUUGUCAAAUGAGCUCCAAAAAGCUGAGCCUGUGGUUGGUUGAAUAAUGGCAAGGUGAGCCUGAAGGAGGUUGGCAACCUCACUUUAGUUCAAAUCAUUCUUGUUGAAAUUUUCUCAUUUGACUUAUCAGGAGAAGAAACUGAUGGACAAUAUUCGCCAAUAUCAAGUUCCACUGCAGAAGUACAUGGCCAUGAUGGACCUUGAGGUGCCUCUUUAGUCUACAUCAAUCCCCAGUUGUGAAUUUGAAGCUGAUUGGUGCAUAUGUGUUGUGUGCUUAGAUGCUGCUUGGAUAUGAAUUGAUUUUGUUUUAAUUAGCAUCUGGAGGAGCAUUUACUCUCAUACUUAUGCUAAUUUUGAUAUUUCAGUUACCCUUCAAUCUUCAUUUCCCAUAUCAUUGUAAUCUCUCUUGUUCUGUUCUUUU